UACGUAGGGGGCAAGCGUUGUCCGGAAUCAUUGGGCGUAAAGAGCGUGUAGGCGGCUUGGUAAGUCCGGUGUGAAACCUUGGGGCUCAACCCCAAGCCUGCACUGGAUACUGCCUCGCUUGAGUCCGGGAGGGGAGAGCGGAAUUCCUAGUGUAGCGGUGAAAUGCGCAGAUAUUAGGAAGAACACCGGUGGCGAAGGCGGCUCUCUGGAACGGUACUGACGCUGAGACGCGAAAGCGUGGGGAGCGAACAGG
rnacentral:rRNA from 1 species